AAUCAACGCUGGCGGCGUGCCUAACACAUGCAAGUCGAACGCGAGAGGGGCUUCGGCCCCGAUUGAGUGGCGAACGGGUGAGUAACGCGUGGGUGACCUACCUUCGAGUGGGGGAGUAACGUCCCGAAAGGGACGCUAAUACCGCAUAACAUCCUGCUUUUGAAUGGGUGGAGAUCAAAGCCGGGGAUCGCAAGACCUGGCGCUUGAUGAGGGGCCCGCGUCUGAUUAGCUAGNGGUGAGGUAACGGCCCACCAAGGCAACGAUCAGUAUCCGGCCUGAGAGGGCGGACGGACACACUGGGACUGAGACACGGCCCAGACUCCUACGGGAGGCAGCAGUGGGGAAUUNUUCGCAAUGGGCGCAAGCCUGACGACGCAACGCCGCGUGGAGGAUGAAGGUCUUCGGAUUGUAAACUCCUGUUGCCCGGGACGAAUGGCUCCGACCUAACACGUCGGAGUGUGACGGUACCGGGUGAGGAAGCCCCGGCUAACUCUGUGCCAGCCGCCGCGGUAAG
rnacentral:rRNA from 1 species